UACAGAGGUGGCAAGCGUUGUUCGGAAUUACUGGGCGUAAAGGGCGCGUAGGCGGUUCGUUAAGUCCUGUGUGAAAUCCCCCGGCUCAACUGGGGAACUGCACAGGAAACUAGCGGGCUUGAGUUCGGGAGAGGGAAGCGGAAUUCCGGGUGUAGCGGUGAAAUGCGUAGAUAUCCGGAGGAACACCGGUGGCGAAGGCGGGUAGCUGGGCCAACACUGACGCUGAGACGCGAAAGCUAGGGGAGCAAACGGG
rnacentral:rRNA from 1 species